CAGCAGCCGCCGCGGGAAUACGAAGGGUGCAAGCGUUAAUCGGAAUUACUGGGCGUAAAGCGUGCGUAGGCGGUGAGUUAAGUCUGCUGUGAAAUCCCCGGGCUCAACCUGGGAAUGGCAGUGGAUACUGGCUCGCUAGAGUGUGUCAGAGGAUGGUGGAAUUCUCGGUGUAGCGGUGAAAUGCGUAGAGAUCUGGAGGAAUACCGGUGGCGAAGGCGGCCCCCUGGACAAAGACUGACGCUCAGGUGCGAAAGCGUGGGGAGCAAACAGGAUUAGAGACCCCCGUAGUCCCUGUCUCUUAUAC
rnacentral:rRNA from 1 species